UUUUCACUGAGCUAAGACCAGUCAUCAUGUUCACUGUUAUAUUCAUGUAUCUGUGCCUUUCACUAGGUGACUCCAUGGCAGAUUCAAUAGAGCCACUUUUAGAGCCUCAUAAAGCUGUAGAUGAAGGUGACAAUGUUACUCUGUCCUGCAAAUACAAACCCAGCACAAGUUCAACAAACAACUACCUCCACUGGUACAGGCAAUAUUCAAAAUCUAAACCCGAGUUCCUUUUGUAUAUUCACCAAAGAGGAACACCAAUCAGUCCCAACAAUCCCUCAAGAAUGUCUGUUAAAGUUGAUGAUAAAACUAAACAAGUGGAUCUGAUCAUCUCCUCUGCUGCUGUAUCAGAACUGUGCUGGUUCAGCACCAUCAAUGUUUUGGAUAGCAGAGGAGCACAUGGCUGCGGUGUGGAGCGAGUGAAGCAUGGCAAAGCUGUUGGAGACCGAAGAAGACAUCCCUAA